UUCACUUAACUGAAAUGGAAAUGAAAAAAUGAAAGCCGUUAAAAUAUUAAACAAGUAAAGAUUCACUCAGUUGUUUUAUACAGUCAAAAGGGUUUCAGAAAAAUAGGUGAUUUGAAGCUCAUUUCCAAAAGUAUGUGAAUAAACCCUUUUAAGGUUUUUGGCUAUUUCAGUAAUUCAUGCAUGAUGACACUGAUGCUGAGUCAGGUGUGGAUGAAUGUGACCGGCCUGUAUAAAAAUAUUAGGGCUUGUUAUAAUUGAAAUUGUGUAAGUGUGGUGCUCAGGCAUUCACAUGUUUUUGGACAUAGUAUAUUUUUUCUAUGGUGCUAGCCUGAUGUAAAACAUAUGAAAGGUUUGGCACACUAAAAAAAAGACGGUUCUUUAAAGGUUCUUUACAUGCAGUAAUGGUUUUAUUUAGAACCAUAGCAUUCUGAAGAACCCUUUCAUGCUGAAAUGGUUCUUUGUGUCAGAGUUUAGGCUUCUUUGUUCCCGCCCUUUUGCUUUUCAAAUCUGUAACUGUCAAAGCACCUCAUUACUGAUUUUCAGUGAUACAACUACACAGACUGUCAAUACACUCUCAACAGUGUUUGCAGUUCAGUUAAGCUGUGGAAACUUUUCUCUUCUUCUCCACUAAAUGUAUCACAUCCUACAGCCUCAUCAUCUGCAGAGAAAAAUCGCCAAUUAAUCACACCAAAAUGAUGGACUUAAAGGCAUCAUAUGGAUUGUAUUGUGAUUGUUUCACUGAAACUUGAUCUUCAUCACAUCUAUUUUUUUGUUCUUAUGUUGUUUUACUUCUUUAUGCAUUUAUUCAUGUUCAAUGUCAAUUGUCAUUCAUUAAUGUAUUCAACUAAUAACUGUUGUUAAGAGCACUGACAAUUUUUCACGUCAAUAAAAACAUAAUUCACACAACAUGCUGCUGUCGUUGUUUUACUGUAAAACCUUAAACGAGGCUACAC